rnacentral:snoRNA from 1 species
GAUCAAGGUCGUCUUAUAAACAGUGACGAUUAUUGCAUUGAAGGUUGGCUAUAUUGUUGAACAAGCAAUUCUCCGUGCCUUUCAAAUAUCAUUUUGACUAUGGCCUCGAACAAAUUGCUACAUU